rnacentral:lncRNA from 1 species
GGAGGUGGAGAGGGAGCUAAUCAAUAAUAUCUAGGGCCACCACUUCAUCAUGUGUUAUUGUCGACUUGUGCCACGAGGUCAGUCUCCUAAGGCACUAGGUCUAGUACAAUGAAAAUUUAGGCUAAUCGUCUGCAUAAAAAAUCUUUGUCAACCGACCUUUGUUAUCCCUACCUUGAAGUAUUCGAUUUUAAACCCUUUAAAGGAAGUGACAUACAAAGAGAACAACCACCUCCUCUUCUCGGAUAUUAACAAUACCCAACUUCUCUCAGCAUUCAGGCGGGUACGAAAGUAAUGAAAAA